UGGUCGAAGUCUUCUAGGCAGAUUUGUCUGCUUCGAGAGGGGUCGUAAUCUGAUAGGUACGCUCUAAUUUUUUUGGCCAUCCAUGCAUCUUUGGUUCUAUCUUCUUUAUAAUAUUUCUUUAGAGGAAACAUUUAUUCUAGGCCAGGGAUGUUCCUUUGGGUUUUCACCAGUGAGAUGUGUAUUGUCGAGGUGCUGGCUAAGGGAAAAAGGUACAAAACGUGAGAUUUGUCUCUCCCUCGCAAAUCACUUUCUGCUCGGUUCGUACACAAUCUGAUGUUAUGAGUUUUUAGUGCAUUGAUUUAUGGUUGUGCAUUGAUUUAUUUUGAUAGUGAAACUCACCAAUUAUGUCAAGGCGGGAAGCUUGGCUGAUUCCAACUCCAAUUAGAGGAUUCCACAUCUAUGGUUUUAUUUUCCGUGCCAACAGCUUGAUUGAUGAUUCCUAAUGCAUCUCAAGUAUUGGUCUCUUCUCCAUAAAUGUAUAUACUUUACCAUGCUAAUUUUAUGUUAACCGUUGCAUAAUAUUUCUCCACUGGAGAUAUAUGAUAUAACCAUUUUUGUUGCUUAUACAUAAAAAAGGUUGCAUAUGCGAUGUAUUGUUGUUUGUAGCUUUUUGCCCAUGUGUAAUUUUUUUAAGCCAUAUUCUUGAAACUUAAUUUGGCUUAUUGGUUAAUUGUUUGCUCACAAAGUAGAAUACACCAAAACAACAGGCAAACCCUAAAGUACCUUGGCACGAAUUAAUUUCUCCUUUAGAGAUACAAGAUCCAAUUGGUUUGGAUGUCUGUUUGCCAAGUUAUAUGGUGUGUUUUCAGUUCUAUCAAUUAUGCAAGACAGUCAAACUAACAUGAUACUACAAGUGACUAUAGAUUUUGUAUAGUUACAAACAUCAUCGAUUUACCUGGAAGUAUCACCAUUAACAAAACUGCUUGACGAAGGUAACAUUUCUUCGCAUAUAGUGUUGGCAAAUGUGUCGGAGAGAUUGAUUACAGAUGCCUCCCGCAACCUGACAUCAGACCAUACCUGCCAAUACAGGUAAUGUUUAGGUAAGUUUAAGCCUGAUUUAUUUUUUAACAACCAAAGCUCAGUAUGCUACACACAUUAAUGAUGAAUUCAUGUUGUGAGUUACACAAUACAAAAUCUAAAAUGACAUGGUUUUACAAAGUUGGGUGGGUCAAAAGAAUUAAACUGUUUCAAAGUACACGUCAUCUCUAUCAUGGGCUAAAAGCUCUAUAUGUUUCCCUCGAUGAUUUUUUGAAAGAAAAUACAGUAUGCCUUUAUUUACCAUUGAUUGAUGGAGUUCACCUGUGUUUCCACUGGUUUGGUAAAUGAAUUCUUAAGCGGCCUUUUAUGAUUGCCCACUAUAUGAUUUAACUGGGGUUGAAGGAUUCCUCUUUUUAGUGCACGUUUGGAAUAUGCAGUAAGGUGAAUGGUGCCAGAUAUAACUCAAUGCAGACAAGAUGUGAUUCCCCACUGUCUAGUCACUAAAACAAUGAGGUGGUUUUGGAAACUAUGAAAUCAGCUUUAUCGUAAUUUCUUAUAGAGGUAUAUUUAAUUUGGAGCGUAGAUGAUGUCUAUAUCCAAUAUCUAUAUCUACAAGUAGUGUUUUUUGUGUAUUAUGAUCCCCCUCAGAACAAAAAUGGUACUCCCUCCGUUCCUAAAGAUAAGUCUUUUUAGAGAUUUCAAUGCAGACUAUAUACAGAGCAAAAUGAGUGAAUCUACACUAAAAUAUGUCUAUAUACAUCAAUAUGUAGUCCUUACUGAAAUCUACUAAUUGUAUUUUCUUGAUAGCUUUCAGAGAAGAACAAGUACCGUUAGUCAUUCUCUGACAUGUAUAAUGCAAUUCUGGAGAUGUGAAUGGAUGUAUUCAUUUAGUAGAGUAUUAGUAGAUGAUGAUUUAUUUUUAUUCGCUAUCAACUGGUGUAUAUCCUGAUAUGUUUAGUCUGUUCCAAAAUUAAUUUGUAAAGUAGCCUGAACAAUUGUACAGUCUCUUGGUGUAUUAGUACUUUGUUUUUGGGGCAGCCAGAAGAAAUCAGUUUGUCAUGACAUGUGAAAAUGAGUUUGUUUACCUUCACUGUUGCUUUUAUUAACUAACAAAGAUGUUUGUGAAAUACAGUAGUUAGUUAGGCAUCACAGUCAAGCUUGGCAAAGGGACUUCUCGUGAGGCCUACAAGGCUGGAAGCACUCUAUGUAAAGUGGUAUCCUCUCAUGGAUACUCAUUUGUCAACUAAUACAUGACCAUACUAGAGAAGCACAUGUCUCAGCACACAC
rnacentral:lncRNA from 1 species